AUGGUGCGCGCAGCCACCGUGGAGCUCGGGCGCACACCACUGAGAGCCGAGAAGAUGGAGGCCAUGACGGAGACGCUGCUACAUGGGAAGGUGUUGCGCGUGGUCGAAGGGGCGCAGGCCACGCUGUUCUUCACGUCCGACCAGGCCAGGAUGCUCGGGCCGUCAGCGGCCACAACCUUGUCUUCGACGGCGCCGCCACCGCCAUCAACCCCACAUACACGACCGCCGCAGCGGCGCGGAGCACGCCCAUGGUCACAAGAGAAACACUGCUCUUGUCCUCGCCAAGAAGUAGUAGCCACAGCACCUGGAAUGGCUGACCUUGACGUAACUGGCAUACCUGGACGCUCACCUACCCACAGGCUGACCUUGACGUAA
rnacentral:rRNA from 1 species